rnacentral:rRNA from 1 species
AUACAGAGGGUGCAAGCGUUAAUCGGAUUUACUGGGCGUAAAGCGUGCGUAGGUGGUCUUUUAAGUCGGAUGUGAAAUCCCUGAGCUUAACUUAGGAAUUGCAUUCGAUACUGGGAGACUAGAGUAUGGGAGAGGAUGGUAGAAUUCCAGGUGUAGCGGUGAAAUGCGUAGAGAUCUGGAGGAAUACCGAUGGCGAAGGCAGCCAUCUGGCCUAAUACUGACACUGAGGCUCGAAAGUGUGGGUAUC